rnacentral:rRNA from 1 species
GAUGAACGCUAGCGACAGGCCUAACACAUGCAAGUCGAGGGGCAGCGGGGGCGAAGCUUGCUUUGCCUGCCGGCGACCGGCGCACGGGUGAGUAACACGUAUGGAACCUGCCCGCCACAGGGGGAUAACCGGUAGAAAUGCCGACUAAUACCCCGUAUGCCCACAGGGGCGCAUGCCCUGGUGGGGAAACAUUCAUGGGUGGCGGAUGGCCAUGCGGCGCAUUAGCUGGUUGGCGGGGUAACGGCCCACCAAGGCGACGAUGCGUAGGGGUUCUGAGAGGAAGGUCCCCCCACAUUGGAACUGAGACACGGUCCAAACUCCUACGGGAGGCAGCAGUGAGGAAUAUUGGUCAAUGGGCGAGAGCCUGAACCAGCCAAGUAGCGUGCAGGACGACGGCCCUAUGGGUUGUAACUGCUUUUAUGCGGGGAUAAAGUGUGGGACGUGUCCCAUAUUGCAGGUACUGCAUGAAUAAGGACCGGCUAAUUCCGUGCCAGCAGCCGACGG